rnacentral:rRNA from 1 species
UACGUAGGGUGCAAGCGUUGUCCGGAAUUAUUGGGCGUAAAGAGCUCGUAGGCGGUCUGUCGCGUCGGAUGUGAAAACUCGGGGCUCAACCCCGAGCCUGCAUUCGAAACGGGCAGACUAGAGUUCGGUAGGGGAGACUGGAAUUCCUGGUGUAGCGGUGAAAUGCGCAGAUAUCAGGAGGAACACCGGUGGCGAAGGCGGGUCUCUGGGCCGAUACUGACGCUGAGGAGCGAAAGCCAGGGGAGCAAACGGG